GAGCCGUUAGCUCAGUCGGUAGAGCAUCUGCCUUUUAAGCAGAGGGUCGCUGGUUCGAUCCCAGCACGGCUCAUCA
rnacentral:tRNA from 1 species